UAUAGUAACUUAUAAAAACUUAGACCCAAUUAAAGCCGUCCCCAUAGAGCAUAAAAAGUGAAACAUUUUCAUUUUUUCAAGAUUGAACCAACAAUUAGACAGCAGUAGCUCUAGAAUUUCAAUUACAGAUUCUUUUACAACUCAAAAUGGGCAGACUGAGGUGGACAGGAGUUUCCCCAAAAUCUAUCAUUAAAAUUAUUUUGUCACAGCACUCAGUUUCUGCAAAAUCAAUGAUCAAUAAAGGGAAUGUGUGUACACAUGUUCCAGAAUAUCUACCUACAUUACUUAAAAAUCGAUCUUUGUACAGUUGCAGUUUUAUUGGUAAACCUAAUAGUUCUUCGACUAGGAGAUUUCCACCGUUGAAGCAUUUUUUCCAUUCCACCGGAGCUUGUUAUUCUGCAGAACGAGAUUACUAUGAAAUUCUAGGUGUAUCUAGAGAUUCUACUCGAGAUGAGAUUAAGAAGGCUUUUCAUGUGCUUGCAAAAAAAUACCACCCAGAUGCCAAUAAGAAUAAUCCAUCUGCGAAGAGGAAAUUUCAAGAGAUAAGAGAUGCAUAUGAGAUUCUGCAAAACCCACAGAAGAGAGCACAAUAUGACAUGAUGAAGGAGCAACCAAGCAACAACACAGAAAAUAUAAAUUAUAAUUAUGGGAAUGGCAAUGAUUUUAGAUAUACAUAUAGCACACAAUUCUCUGGUUCGUUUCAGAAAAUAUUUUCUGAGAUAUUUGAAAAUGAGGCUGAAAAUCUGACGCAAGACAUUCAGGUGGAGCUUUCUCUCUCUUUUUCUGAAGCUGCUAAAGGAUGCACAAAACAUCUAUCAUUUGAUGCAGAUGUACCAUGUGAUUCUUGCAGUGGUUUGGGCUAUCCAUUGAAUUCAACGCCAAAAGUAUGUCCAACUUGUCAAGGAGUUGGGAGAGUUACAAUCCCUCCAUUUACAGCAACUUGCAGUACCUGUAAAGGAUCUGGACGAGUCAUUAAGGAACGUUGUAGGGCAUGCAAAGCAUCAGGAGUUGUUGAAGCCAUUAAAGACGUUAAAGUAACUAUACCUGCCGGUGUUGACUCUGGUGAUACUAUUCGGGUGCCAAAAGCUGGUCAUGCUGGCAGGCGAGGGGUGCAGCCAGGCAGCUUAUUUAUAAAGCUAAAGGUUGCUAAAGAUCCUCUAUUUGCUAGAGAAGGAGCUGACCUUUAUGUGGAUUAUCAUAUCAGCUUUACAAAAGCUAUCCUUGGUGGUAAAGUUGAGGUACCAACUCUAUGUGGAAAGACAAAUAUACAGGUACCCAAGGGUGUUCAGCCUGGACAACUUGUGGUACUCCGAGGCAAAGGUUUGCCAAAGAGUGGAUUUCUGGUGAACCAUGGAGAUCAAUAUGUGCGGUUCCGUAUUGACUUUCCAACAGCAUUGAAUGAACGGCAGCGUGCUAUAAUGGAAGAAUUUGCACAGGAGGAAGUUGUUAAUGGAGAUUACAUGGAUGGAGAAGUAAAUUUGUAGGCCAGACCCAGUAGGUGGUUAGCAAAAUCUUGUAUACAGCCUUGAAGCUAUGUGUUUUUAUCUCUUUUCGGCUGUCCAUUAAGUUUGUUGCAUCACUUCCACUUAUUUUUCUUUUUUGGAUUCUAUUGUGGUAGGUUUCGUAAAUCAUGUCCUUCCUGAACUCGGGCUUUACCAGCAGCUCUCUACUGGUUGAACUUACAGGUGGCAGCAGUUGCUUGAACGCGUAUCAAACCCAAAGUUUGUGGUUGAAUUCUCACUCUUGAUAGUGAUUCUUCUAUUGUUAAUCAAAACACUAUGAUUGUGGAGGCGUCAGCUGUCCUAGGCAGAUACAAGAAUCCCUGAUUCAGCUGCUUUCAACAUCAUACCUGCACAGAGUUUGCUAGUCUCCGGCUUCAAUCUGAUCUGGAGAGAACUUCCCAAACAUCUACAGUCCUGGUAGCUAUAUCACAUACACAUGGUAGAGUCAUUUUUUAUCGUCGAGUUCAGAUUAUAUACUAGCAUUUAACAUGCCUAUAUAGUUCUCAAAAUAAAAAAGGAAGUGCCUAUUUUAUCCAAGGCCUUUUAUGAGAAAGUUGAGAGUUUCAGUAUAUCAUAGAAGUGUCCCUGUAUUUUCUACCUACAAAAAUUGUAGAGAAUUACUGAUAAGUCUCUGGAAUUUUGCAUAGUUCCAGUUGUACUCUUUAACAUGUUCUAUAUGUUUUAUUUGUUUUUGGGGGACUGAAAAAUAUAACUUUCUUUUUCCGCUA